CCGCACAAGCGGUGGAUGAUGUGAUUAAUUCAUCCACGCGAAAACCUUACCUACCCUUGACAUGUCCAGAAGCCUGAAGAGAUUUGGGUGUGCCCGAAAAGGGAACUGGAACACAGUGCUGCAUGCCUGUCGUCAGCUCGUGUCGUGAGAUGUUGGGUUAAGUCCCGCAACGAGCGCAACCCUUGUCAUUAAUUGCCAUCAUUUAGUUGGGCACUUUAAAUGAGACUGCCGGUGACAAACCGGAGGAAGGUGGGGAUGACGUCAAGUCCUCAUGGCCCUUAUGGGUAGGGCUUCACACGUAAUACAAUGGUCGGUACAGAGGGUUGCCAACCCGCGAGGGGGAGCUAAUCUCAGAAAGCCGAUCGUAGUCCGGAUUGGAGUCUGCAACUCGACUCCAUGAAGUCGGAAUCGCUAGUAAUCGCGGAUCAGCAUGUCGCGGUGAAUACGUUCCCGGGUCUUGUACACACCGCCCGUCACACCAUGGGAGCGGGUUCUACCAGAAGCAGCUAGCUUAACCGUAAGGAGAGCGGUUGCCACGGUAGGGUUCGUGACUGGGGUGAAGUCGUAACAAGGUAGCCGUAUCGGAAGGUGCGGCUGGAUCACCUCCUU
rnacentral:rRNA from 1 species